GAUGAACGCUAGCGGCAGGCUUAACACAUGCAAGUCGAGGGGUAUAACACUUCGGUGUUAGAGACCGGCGCACGGGUGCGUAACGCGUAUGUAAUCUACCUUUUACAGAGGGAUAGCCCAGAGAAAUUUGGAUUAAUACCUCAUGGUAUUAUGGAUAGGCAUCUAUUUAUAAUUAAAGAUUUAUCGGUAAAAGAUGAGCAUGCGUCCCAUUAGCUAGUUGGUAUGGUAACGGCAUACCAAGGCGACGAUGGGUAGGGGUCCUGAGAGGGAGAUCCCCCACACUGGUACUGAGACACGGACCAGACUCCUACGGGAGGCAGCAGUGAGGAAUAUUGGACAAUGGGCGCAAGCCUGAUCCAGCCAUGCCGCGUGCAGGAUGACUGCCCUAUGGGUUGUAAACUGCUUUUGUACAGGAAGAAACCCUUCUACGAGUAGAAGAUUGACGGUACUGUAAGAAUAAGGAUCGGCUAACUCCGUGCCAGCCGCCGCCGUAA
rnacentral:rRNA from 1 species